CAGUCGCCGCGGUAAUACGAAGGGGGCUAGCGUUGCUCGGAAUUACUGGGCGUAAAGGGCGCGUAGGCGGAUGUUUAAGUCAGAGGUGAAAGCCCAGGGCUCAACCUUGGAACUGCCUUUGAUACUGGACAUCUUGAGUGUGGGAGAGGUGAGUGGAACUCCGAGUGUAGAGGUGAAAUUCGUAGAUAUUCGGAAGAACACCAGUGGCGAAGGCGGCUCACUGGACUGGUAUUGACGCUGAGGUGCGAAAGCGUGGGGAGCAAACAGGAUUAGAUACCCCAGUAGUCCCUGUCUCUUAUAC
rnacentral:rRNA from 1 species